rnacentral:lncRNA from 12 species
ACCAAACCCCAGAAUGGGAAGGGAAGGAUUCACCAAACCCCAGAAUGGGAAGGGAAGGAUUCACCAAACCCCAGAAUGGGAAGGGCAGGACUCACCAAACCCCAAAAUCAGGGAGCUUGAGCCAGGGGUUCCUGCAGGGAGAAGGACUCGGAGCUGAACCAGAAGCGGCCCCAGUACAUCAAGGCCAAGGAGAACACGUCGCACAAGAUCAAGAAGCUGGAGGCGGCGCGCAAGUCGCUGCAGAACGCGCAGAAGCAGUACAAGAAACGCAAGGCUGACAUGGACGAGCUGGAGAAGGAGAUGCUGUCCGUGGAGAAAUCCAGGCAGGAGUUCGAGGAGCGCAUGGAGGAGGAGAGCCAGAGCCAGGGCAGGGACCUGACCCUGGAGGAGAACCAGAGCCAGGGCAGGGACCUGACCCUGGAGGAGAACCAGGUGAAGAAGUACCACCGGCUGAAGGAGGAGGCCAGCAAGCGCGCGGCCACGCUGGCCCAGGAGCUGGAGAAGUUCAACCGCGACCAAAAGGCCGACCAGGACCGGCUGGACCUGGAGGAGAGGAAGAAGGUGGAGACUGAGGCCAAGAUCAAGCAGAAGCUGCGGGAGAUCGAGGAGAACCAGAAGCGCAUCGAGAAGCUCGAGGAGUACAUCGCCACCAGCAAGUGGGUGCAGGGUCCCUGGGGGCUGGGGGGUCCCCAGGGUGUCCCCAGGGGGCUGGGGGGUCCCUGAGGGAUCCCCA